CGCGAAAAACUCUACAAUGCACGCAAGUGUGAUAGGGCAACCCCCUUGUGCUACAACUAACGUUGGGCUUCUAUUUAUGUGUAAUGUUGUCAAUAAUGAAUAAGUGGUGGGCAAGACCGGGUGCCAGCAGCCGCGGUAAUACCGGCGUCCACGAGUGGAGUUCACUAUUAUUGGGUCUAAAGUGUCCGUAGCUGGUUUAUUAAGUCUCUUGUGAAAUUUCUGUUGCUUAACUCAGAAACUGCAAGAGAUACUGGUAAACUCGAGACCGGAAGAGGUAACAAGUAUUGUUUGGGUAGCGGUAAAAUGCUAUAAUCCUUACAAGACUAACUAAGGCGAAGGCAUGUUACUUGGACGGAUCUG
rnacentral:rRNA from 2 species